rnacentral:rRNA from 1 species
GUAGGGAAUUUUGGACAAUGGGCGAAAGCCUGAUCCAGCCAUGCCGCGUGCAGGAUGAAGGCCUUCGGGUUGUAAACCGCUUUUGUCAGGGAAGAAAUCCUUUGGGUUAAUACCUCGGAGGGAUGACGGUACCUGAAGAAUAAGCACCGGCUAACUACGUGCCAGCAGCCGCGGUAAUACGUAGGGUGCGAGCGUUAAUCGGAAUUACUGGGCGUAAAGCGUGCGCAGGCGGUUUUGUAAGAUCGAUGUGAAAUCCCCGGGCUCAACCUGGGAACUGCAUUGGUGACUGCAAGGCUGGAGUGCGGCAGAGGGGGAUGGAAUUCCGCGUGUAGCAGUGAAAUGCGUAGAUAUGCGGAGGAACACCGAUGGCGAAGGCAAUCCCCUGGGCCUGCACUGACGCUCAUGCACGAAAGCGUGGGGAGCAAACAGGAUUAGAAACCCCGGUAGUCC